UUCUGGUUGAUCCUGCCGGACCUGACUGCUAUCGGAUUGAUACUAAGCCAUGCGAGUCUUUGUAGUAAUACAAGGCAUACGGCUCAGUAACACGUAGUCAACUUACCUUAUGGACGAGGAUAAUCUCGGGAAACUGAGGAUAAUACUCGAUAGACCAUCACUCCUGGAAUGGUUGGUGGUUGAAAUGAUUCGUCGCCAUAGGAUGGGACUGCGGCCUAUCAGCUUGUUGGCGAGGUAAUGGCUCACCAAGGCGAUUACAGGUACGGGCUCUGAGAGGAGAAGCCUGGAGAUGGGUACUGAGACACUGACCCAGGCCCUAUGGGGCGCAGCAGGCGAGAAAACUUUGCAAUGUGCGAAAGCACGACAAGGUUAAUCCGAGUGAUUUCUGCUAAAGAAAUCUUUUGCUAGUUCUAAAAAUACUAGUGAAUAAGGGGUGGGCAAGUUCUGGUGUCAGCCGCCGCGGUAAAACCAGCACCUCAAGUGGUCAGGAGGAUUAUUGGGCCUAAAGCAUCCGUAGCCGGCUCUUCAAGUUUUCGGUUAAAUCUAUACGCUUAACGUAUAGGCUGCCAAAAAUACUGUAGAGCUAGGGAGUGGGAGAGGUAGACGGUACUCGGUAGGAAGGGGUAAAAUCUUUUGAUCUAUUGAUGACCACCUGUGGCGAAGGCGGUCUACCAGAACAUGUUCGACGGUGAGGGAUGAAAGCUGGGGGAGCAAACCGGAUUAGAUACCCGGGUAGUCCCAGCUGUAAACGAUGCAGACUCGAUGAUGUAUUAGCAUAUAGCUGGUACAGUGUCGCAGGGAAGCCGUUAAGUCUGCCGCCUGGGAAGUACGUACGCAAGUAUGAAACUUAAAGGAAUUGGCGGGGGAGCACCACAAGGGGUGAAGCCUGCGGUUCAAUUGGACUCAACGCCGGAA
rnacentral:rRNA from 1 species